GUCAAUACUUGUAAAAAAAAAUUAUUCGCAAAACAGAACCUUAAGAAAUCUUAUUAUCUUUUGCUGAAAUGUCUAAUAUACUGCAAGCAAUUGCGCGAAGCCAUUUGCGACGGCUCCAACAGCGGCAACACAACCGAGUCAAAGUUAAAGGAACAUUCUUCGUACGUCAGUUUAGAAUUUCAUUGACGGCUGCUAACAAGGAAACCCCAAAUAGUAGUACAAAGCCAAUUCAGAAAGAAAUGCGGAACAAAAGCAACAACACAAAUAAAAGAUUUAGCAACAUACGCAACAAUAAUGCGGAAGCUUACCAAGUGUUGGCACAGCCAUUUUCGGGACGGCAAAGCCAGCGCUCAACAGUAUUGUACGCCAAAUCCGCAAUAGAUUUACGGCUCAAUUCUUGUGUGCGUGCCGUGCGCUCCCCCGCCUCAUUUGCCGCGCCCCUCUGCAGCUACGCCGGCACAAAGGCUGGUAUAGGAUGGCGCGAUUCGCUUCUCUCAAUACCGAAAAAAUGGCUUUCCACUGCAGAGUCGGUCGACGAGUUUGGCUUUCCCUGCGCACUACCAAAAGUACCAGUCCCACCGUUGGAGGAGACCAUGGCUAAUUAUAUACUUGCCAUAGAAGCUUUCACGACACCGGCAAAACUCGAAUGUACGAAACUUUUGAUUAAAAAAUUUAUGGGUCCAGAUGGUAUUGGACAAAAAUGUCAUCAAUAUUUAAUGGACAAGCGUGAAGCUGAGGAUAAUUGGGCUUACAAUUAUUGGCUAAAUGACAUGUACAUGGAUGUUCGUUUGCCUCUGCCAAUCAACUCAAAUCCCGGCAUGCCAAUGCCACCCGUUCGUUUUACAACGGUGCACGACGUGGCACGCUUUGCAGCACUCCUAUUGAGCGGCAUCAUGAAGCAUAAGGAACUACUGGACAGCGGCAAUUUACCCAUCGAUCGUGCGGGUUCUCGAGAGAAGAAUCAACCACUAUGCAUGGCACAAUACUACCGACCGCUGGGUUCAUGCCGCCGACCUGGUUUGGAAAGGGACACACAGUACUUAGCAGAGCGCGGCGAGAAAAGCGACGAACAUGUGAUUGUGGUGUGUCGCAACCAGAUGUAUUGUGUUAACUUGAAAACCAGUAGUCGCGGCCGAAUAUCGGAGACUGAAAUCGCUUCAAAUAUCUUGUAUGUACUCAGCGAUGCACCCUGUUUGCCAACUAAACCACCAAUGGUGGGCUUACUUACUGCCGAGGAGCGCACACGUUGGGCCACAAAUCGCAACUUACUGCUGGAGAACGAAGUCAAUCAGAAUAGUAUUUUGUUGAUUGAGAAAGCUCUCUGUAUGCUAUGUAUCGACGAACCGCUACCGAAUACUUUCAAUGCUUACACGUUCACUGGCGCCACGCCAACAGGUUAUAUGGUGGGUGAUCGCGAUGAUACGAAUAUGUUGCACGAAAUGAUACAUGGCGGCGGUAGCAAUUACAAUUCGGCUAACCGUUGGUUCGACAAAGUCCUACAAAUAAUUAUCUGCACCGACGGUACUUGGGGUAUUAACUACGAGCAUUCCUUUUCCGAGGGCGAUGCCAUUGUGAAUGUCAUAGAGAAAAUCUAUAAAAAUUUGGAGGAAAAGCAAUCAGCAUGCAAUAGUAUACCGUCGGACCCGACACCCGAACGCAUACCGUGGGUCAUAACACCGCAAGUGGAUGAACGUAUUAAGCAGGCCGCUGUUGCAGUCGACAAGGCAAUUGGAGACUUCGAUUUGUAUGUGUACCGUUACAAAGGUUAUGGCAAAAAUUUCAUCAAGCAAUGCAAGUGCAGUCCCGAUGCCUUCUUGCAGCUGAUGCUACAGUUAUCCUAUUUCAAAUUGUAUGGCCAUUUCGUAGCCACUUACGAGAGUGCUUCCACUAGGCGAUUUUUGUUGGGUCGAGUCGACUGCAUACGGGCUUCCCACAAAGAGGCACUGGAAUGGGCCACAGCCAUGUGCCAGGGCGAAGGCGCUAAUGUGCCCUUGGAAAGUGAGGGCGAGGACGACGAUGCGCGUAAAGUCAAAUUCAGCAUUUAUAAUAAAGAUAAGCUCAAGGAACUUUUCCGCAUUGCCUGCAAUCGUCAAACUGAAAUUAUGGUUCAAAAUAUACUAGGGCAUGGCAUUGAUAUACCAUUGCUGGGCUUACGUGAGGCCAGUAAGGAAUUCAACAACGGUCAGGUCCACGAACUUUUCAACCAUGAAACGUUUCAAACUGCCAAUAUUUUCUUGUUGAGCACAAGUCAGUUUCACACUCAAGGACACACGAUUCUAAAAAACUGCACAUGUGUGUACAUACGUAUAUGUCGCUUGCACCGCACCGAGCAGCACUGCACUGUUUUAUUUGUUCACUCUGCACCAUUAAAAUUAUGCUAGAGCACAGCGCACUCGACAACAUGGAAGCCACACGCCUCUACUUUGCUAUUAUGUAAUUGCAAUAUAGAAAUAGUUAGAAGACAGUGUGGCUACCAAAUCGGACGCUUUCAUGGGUUAUGGCGCAGUAACGCCACGUGGCUAUGGCUGCUCCUACAAUCCACAUGCCGAUGAUAUUACAUUUUGUAUAUCGGCAUUUUAUUCCUGUGAGGAUACAAGC
rnacentral:misc_RNA from 1 species